rnacentral:rRNA from 1 species
AUUGAAGGCUGGCGGCAUGCUUUACACAUGCAAGUCGAGGGGCAGCAUGAAUGUAGCAAUACAUUUGAUGGCGACCGGCAAACGGGUGCGGAACACGUACACAACCUUCCUAUAAGUGGGGAAUAGCCCAGAGAAAUUUGGAUUAAUACCCCGUAACAUAAUGAUGUGGCAUCACAUUAUUAUUAUAGCUACGGCGCUUAUUGAUGGGUGUGCGGCUGAUUAGAUAGUUGGCGGGGUAACGGCCCACCAAGUCUACGAUCAGUAGCUGAUGUGAGAGCAUGAUCAGCCACACGGGCACUGAGACACGGGCCCGACUCCUACGGGAGGCAGCAGUAAGGAAUAUUGGUCAAUGGACGCAAGUCUGAACCAGCCAUGCCGCGUGAAGGAUUAAGGUCCUCUGGAUUGUAAACUUCUUUUAUCUGGGACGAAAAAGGCUAUUCUUAGUCACUUGACGGUACCAGAUGAAUAAGCACCGGCUAACUCCGUGCCAGCCGCCGCAGUAAUAC